rnacentral:rRNA from 1 species
GAAGUCGGCAAAACGGAUCCGUAACCUUGGGAUAAGGAUUGGCUCUGAGGACUGAGCCGGUCGGGCUGGGGACCUGAAGCAGGAACGGCACUGCACCGGGACUGGGCGGGGCUCGCCGUUGACGCGGCACGGCCAAGCCCGGACCAGCGUCGGGACCUUCCUGUGGAAAGCCUCAGCUGCGCGGCGUCCGAGGGCUUCGUGCCCAAAGUGCUAUGCUUCGGCCGGCAAAAAACAGUCAACUCAGAACUGGCAUGGACCGGGGGAAUCCGACUGUCUAAUUAAAACAAAGCAUUGCGAUGGCCGCUGGUCGGUGUUGACGCAAUGUGAUUUCUGCCCAGUGCUCUGAAUGUCAACGUGAAGAGAUUCAUCAAAGCGCGGGUAAACGGCGGGAAUAACUAUGACUCUCUUGUCAAACAAAAAGCGAAAACACUAGCUGUGUCAACCCUGCUACCGCUGU